rnacentral:tRNA from 1 species
GCCUGGGUGGCUCAGAGGUUGAGCAUCUGCCUUUGACUCUGGUCGUGAUCCCGGGGUCAUGGGAUCAAGUCCCAUACUGGGCU